rnacentral:rRNA from 1 species
GAUGAACGCUAGCUACAGGCUUAACACAUGCAAGUCGAGGGGAAACGCCAUCGCAAGCUUGCUUUUGAUGGGCGUCGACCGGCGCACGGGUGAGUAACGCGUAUCCAACCUGCCCAUCACUUGGGGAUAACCUUGCGAAAGUAAGACUAAUACCCAAUGAUAUCUCUAGAAGACAUCUGAAAGAGAUUAAAGAUUUAUCGGUGAUGGAUGGGGAUGCGUCUGAUUAGCUUGUUGGCGGGGUAACGGCCCACCAAGGCAACGAUCAGUAGGGGUUCUGAGAGGAAGCUCCACCAGAAUGGAGCUAAGGCACAGACCAAAAUGGUACGGAGCACAGGGGUAUGGAAGAUUGGGCGAGGGAGGAGGGCCUAACCCAGCCAAGUGGCGUGCAGGAAGCCGGCCCUAGGGGUUGUAAACUGCUUUUAAAGAAGAAGAAAGUGAGAGUCGUGACUCUUUUUGUAUGUACCUUAUGAAUAAGGACCGGCUAAUCACGUG